ACGAACGCUGGCGGCGUGCUUAACCCAUGCCAGUCGAACGGAAAGGCCCUGCUUUUGUGGGGUGCUCGAGUGGCGAACGGGUGAGUAACACGUGAGUAACCUGCCCUUGACUUUGGGAUAACUUCAGGAAACUGGGGCUAAUACCGGAUAGGAGCUCCUGCUGCAUGGUGGGGGUUGGAAAGUUUCGGCGGUUGGGGAUGGACUCGCGGCUUAUCAGCUUGUUGGUGGGGUAGUGGCUUACCAAGGCUUUGACGGGUAGCCGGCCUGAGAGGGUGACCGGCCACAUUGGGACUGAGAGACGGCCCAGACUCCUACGGGAGGCAGCAGUGGGGAAUAUUGCACAAUGGGCGGAAGCCUGAUGCAGCAACGCCGCGUGCGGGAUGACGGCCUUCGGGUUGUAAACCGCUUUCGCCUGUGACGAAGCGUGAGUGACGGUAAUGGGUAAAGAAGCACCGGCUAACUACGUG
rnacentral:rRNA from 1 species